UGGGGAAUAUUGCACAAUGGGGGAAACCCUGAUGCAGCGACGCCGCGUGAGGGAAGACGGUUUUCGGAUUGUAAACCUCUGUCUUGUGGGACGAUAGUGACGGUACCACAGGAGGAAGCCAUGGCUAACUACGUGCCAGCAGCCGCGGUAAUACGUAGAUGGCGAGCGUUGUCCGGAAUUACUGGGUGUAAAGGGAGUGUAGGCGGGCUGGUAAGUUGAAUGUGAAACCUUCGGGCUCAACCCGGAGCGUGCGUUCAAAACUGCUGGUCUUGAGUGAAGUAGAGGCAGGCGGAAUUCCCGGUGUAGCGGUGGAAUGCGUAGAUAUCGGGAGGAACACCAGUGGCGAAGGCGGCCUGCUGGGCUUUUACUGACGCUGAGGCUCGAAAGCAUGGGUAGCAAACA
rnacentral:rRNA from 1 species